GGGUUGUGAGGUUAAGCGACUAAGCGUACACGGUGGAUGCCCUGGCAGUCAGAGGCGAUGAAGGACGUGCUAAUCUGCGAAAAGCGUCGGUAAGGUGAUAUGAACCGUUAUAGCCGGCGAUGUCCGAAUGGGGAAACCCAGUGCAAUUCGUUGCACUAUCGUUAACUGAAUACAUAGGUUAACGAGGCGAACCGGGGGAACUGAAACAUCUAAGUACCCCGAGGAAAAGAAAUCAACCGAGAUUCCCCCAGUAGCGGCGAGCGAACGGGGAGCAGCCCGGAGUCUGAAUCAGCUUGUGUGUUAGUGGAAGCGUCUGGAAAGUCGCAGGGUACAGGGUGAUACUCCCGUACACUAAAGCACACAGGUUGUGAACUCGAAGAGUAGGGCGGGACACGUGGUAUCCUGUCUGAAUAUGGGGGGACCAUCCUCCAAGGCUAAAUACUCCUGACUGACCGAUAGUGAACCAGUACCGUGAGGGAAAGGCGAAAAGAACCCCGGCGAGGGGAGUGAAAAAGAACCUGAAACCGUGUACGUACAAGCAGUAGGAGCCUCUUUAUGGGGUGACUGCGUACCUUUUGUAUAAUGGGUCAGCGACUUAUAUUCUGUAGCAAGGUUAACCGUAUAGGGGAGCCGCAGGGAAACCGAGUCUUAACUGGGCGUUAAGUUGCAGGGUAUAGACCCGAAACCCGGUGAUCUAGCCAUGGGCAGGUUGAAGGUUGGGUAACACUAACUGGAGGACCGAACCGACUAAUGUUGAAAAAUUAGCGGAUGACUUGUGGCUGGGGGUGAAAGGCCAAUCAAACCGGGAGAUAGCUGGUUCUCCCCGAAAGCUAUUUAGGUAGCGCCUCGUGAAUUCAUCUUCGGGGGUAGAGCACUGUUUCGGCUAGGGGGUCAUCCCGACUUACCAACCCGAUGCAAACUACGAAUACCGAAGAAUGUUAUCACGGGAGACACACGGCGGGUGCUAACGUCCGUCGUGAAGAGGGAAACAACCCAGACCGCCAGCUAAGGUCCCAAAGUCAUGGUUAAGUGGGAAACGAUGUGGGAAGGCCCAGACAGCCAGGAUGUUGGCUUAGAAGCAGCCAUCAUUUAAAGAAAGCGUAAUAGCUCACUGGUCGAGUCGGCCUGCGCGGAAGAUGUAACGGGGCUAAACCAUGCACCGAAGCUGCGGCAGCGACACUAUGUGUUGUUGGGUAGGGGAGCGUUCUGUAAGCCGUCGAAGGUGGCCUGUGAGGGUUGCUGGAGGUAUCAGAAGUGCGAAUGCUGACAUAAGUAACGAUAAUGCGGGUGAAAAACCCGCACGCCGGAAGACCAAGGGUUCCUGUCCAACGUUAAUCGGGGCAGGGUGAGUCGACCCCUAAGGCGAGGCCGAAAGGCGUAGUCGAUGGGAAACAGGUUAAUAUUCCUGUACUCGGUGUUACUGCGAAGGGGGGACGGAGAAGGCUAUGUUGGCCGGGCGACGGUUGUCCCGGUUUAAGCAUGUAGGCGGAUGUUCCAGGUAAAUCCGGAACGUUAUUAACGCUGAGGUGUGAUGACGAGGCACUACGGUGCUGAAGUGACAAAUGCCCUGCUUCCAGGAAAAGCCUCUAAGCAUCAGGUAACAUCAAAUCGUACCCCAAACCGACACAGGUGGUCAGGUAGAGAAUACCAAGGCGCUUGAGAGAACUCGGGUGAAGGAACUAGGCAAAAUGGUGCCGUAACUUCGGGAGAAGGCACGCUGAUAGGUAGGUGAAGUGGUUUACCCAUGGAGCUGAAAUCAGUCGAAGAUACCAGCUGGCUGCAACUGUUUAUUAAAAACACAGCACUGUGCAAACACGAAAGUGGACGUAUACGGUGUGACGCCUGCCCGGUGCCGGAAGGUUAAUUGAUGGGGUUAUCCGUAAGGAGAAGCUCUUGAUCGAAGCCCCGGUAAACGGCGGCCGUAACUAUAACGGUCCUAAGGUAGCGAAAUUCCUUGUCGGGUAAGUUCCGACCUGCACGAAUGGCGUAAUGAUGGCCAGGCUGUCUCCACCCGAGACUCAGUGAAAUUGAACUCGCUGUGAAGAUGCAGUGUACCCGCGGCAAGACGGAAAGACCCCGUGAACCUUUACUAUAGCUUGACACUGAACACUGGUCCUUGAUGUGUAGGAUAGGUGGGAGGCUUUGAAGUGUGGACGCCAGUCUGCAUGGAGCCAUCCUUGAAAUACCACCCUUUAAUGGCUGGUGUUCUAACGUGGGCCCGUUAUCCGGGUUGCGGACAGUGUCUGGUGGGUAGUUUGACUGGGGCGGUCUCCUCCUAAAGAGUAACGGAGGAGCACGAAGGUCAGCUAAUCCUGGUCGGACAUCAGGAGGUUAGUGCAAUGGCAUAAGCUGGCUUGACUGCGAGCGUGACGGCGCGAGCAGGUGCGAAAGCAGGUCAUAGUGAUCCGGUGGUUCUGAAUGGAAGGGCCAUCGCUCAACGGAUAAAAGGUACUCCGGGGAUAACAGGCUGAUACCGCCCAAGAGUUCAUAUCGACGGCGGUGUUUGGCACCUCGAUGUCGGCUCAUCACAUCCUGGGGCUGAAGUAGGUCCCAAGGGUAUGGCUGUUCGCCAUUUAAAGUGGUACGCGAGCUGGGUUUAGAACGUCGUGAGACAGUUCGGUCCCUAUCUGCCGUGGGCGCUGGAGAAUUGAGGGGGGCUGCUCCUAGUACGAGAGGACCGGAGUGGACGCAUCACUGGUGUUCGGGUUGUCAUGCCAAUGGCAUUGCCCGGUAGCUAAAUGCGGAAGAGAUAAGUGCUGAAAGCAUCUAAGCACGAAACUUGCCCCGAGAUGAGUUCUCCCUGACUCCUUGAGAGUCCUGAAGGAACGUUGAAGACGACGACGUUGAUAGGCCGGGUGUGUAAGCGCAGCGAUGCGUUGAGCUAACCGGUACUAAUGAACCGUGAGGCUUAACCUUACAACGCCGAAG
rnacentral:rRNA from 1 species